UUAAACAGAUAACUUGGAAAAAUAUUCUGUGGAUAAUUAUAUAUUUAUCUUCAUUUCGAAGUUAUUGUAUUACAACUCAAAUUAUCAAGAUCAGUGUGUUUUCUAUAGAGCACAUGGUAAUACGUGUGAGCUACUGGAAUGAUUUUUCUACGGUCAAUUCAGCUCUUUAUUUAUCUUUAUUCUAGUAAGAAAUUUCGAUAAUAAAAGCUAUUUAAAUAGCCAAAAGGGAAUAUUUUUAAUAAAUAAUUAUUUAUAUUUUACACUAAUAUUUUACUUCUUAGUCCAAUAUGUAAUUUAUUGUGUAAACCAUAUUGUUAAGUGGUAUAGGAACGUACCCGACCAUAAAUAAAAAAAAUACGAAUUUAAUUUGGAAAGUUUUUGUGUGUUAUCAGAAAUGACCGACAGUGAAAAUUUUAGAGUGAAAGCCCUGGUCUAGACAAGACCGUUUUUUUCAUUAACUAACAAUAACAAUAUAUAUCAUAACUAACUGUUAUUGCAUGCAUGCAAAAAUAAUGUACUUUUAUUUAACAGGAACCAGUUAUCGGUAAAUCAUCAGGCUUCGUUCUUCUUCUAGAGUGGUUCAUUGAGUAAGACGCUGGCUCGCUAAUAUGGAGGUUGCGUUUUUGACCCUGGGCGGGCUGAGAAAGUUCAUUGUGAUUUUCCGACGUAGUUCCCCCUUGUCAGCAGUGGACGGCCUGGAAAGGACAGCGGCUAGUCCUUCAGAUAGGAUGAAACACCAAGAUCCAGUGUACACGUUGGCAUGUUCCUUUAAAGAGGUUGCCAACAUAAUUUUGCUUGGAAUAACAUUAAAUGACAUCUAUGCACAUUAUGCCUUGGAUGAAGGCCUAGAGAAGAUGAGUCCAGCUAUUGUCUUUGCAUUGCUGUUAACUUGUAGAUUUAUUAUAUAUUUACAAAGCCUUGCUUCAGAACCAAAGUCUGUUUUUGAUAAGAAAGAUAAAUUGGA